AGCAGCCGCCGCGGUAAUACAGAGGGUGCAAGCGUUAAUCGGAAUUACUGGGCGUAAAGCGCGCGUAGGCGGCUUCUUAAGUCGGAUGUGAAAUCCCUGAGCUUAACUUAGGAAUUGCAUUCGAUACUGGUAAGCUAGAGUAUGGGAGAGGAUGGUAGAAUUCCAGGUGUAGCGGUGAAAUGCGUAGAGAUCUGGAGGAAUACCGAUGGCGAAGGCAGCCAUCUGGCCUAAUACUGACGCUGAGGUACGAAAGCAUGGGGAGCAAACAGGAUUAGAUACCCCGGUAGUCCCUGUCUCUUAUAA
rnacentral:rRNA from 1 species